GUAUCUUCUAGAGGUCAUAUCAUUUCCCCUUUUGACUCACGUUUCCUGUCAAAAUUGACGUAACUUCAGUCUGCCACUUGAUGUAGCCCUGCCUCCUCACCCACUGGAUGCCAGCUUAGCUCCUGGACUCAACCUUCAGAGCUGUGCAGUGGAAAGGGACCCAUCUGGAACAUGAACUUGGCUCGACCACAUCAGCUGGAGUCUGAUUUCUCAGCUGCUGAAUCAAUCUGUUUCCUGAUAAGUGAAUUCCCAUCCCCAGCAUCAAGGAACUGACCCAGCUCCACAGGAUCCAACAAGUCAGACAGCAAUAGGCUGAAAGUAGAACUGGUGAUGGUCACACCAUAGGUACUCAAAGGAAGCUGUGGGCUGUUAGGGGGCUGGAUUCCUCCAGAAGCAUGUGACUUGACUACCUCACUGGAAGCACCAGGGGAAGUAGUUUAAGGGAAUGAAGAACAUCAGAGGACAGAACCCAGCAGGGCUCAGCAGAUCUUGGAAAACCAGCAGCUGUGGAGUAAGGAACAGGCCAAGUGACACGAUCCAGGACAAGGCCUACUUUGAGUUUCUUGAAAUACCAAGAAAAUGCCUCAAGACUUUGUGAUUCAUGCUCUUCCUACUCCAGGAAGAAACUGCUUUGAUCUCAUACACAUUGUCUACUAUUACUCUAAGGUCUUAGGGUACUAUGUCAUGUCCCCUCCCAAUUUAUAUUAGCUCCUCAUGCUACUGAACCUUCUGGAACCCUG
rnacentral:lncRNA from 1 species